GCUAAGAGAAUCGGAGCGGGAGGGGAUGGAGGCAGUUCGUUGUGCUGCGUUGUGUUCCGGGUCGCAGUGUGUGGUGUGGGGCCUCUGUUGUAAGCUAUGGGCUGAGGUUUUCUUCCCUGAUGCACCGAGACGAUUUGGUGCAGAGUUAACAGCAGUAGUAAUGCAUUUGAAAAAGCGUCGCUGCCUUCAUAAUAAUGUAAUUGUUCACAUUUUAAAGUUCUGAAUAAAAGUGCUUCCAUGGGUUUUAAUGAUACACAUCAAGUUGUCCCUCCUGGACAGCUGGGAUUCCCCUCUAUGUUGCCAGGGCAGUACUGGUGAGGGGAAAGGCAAGGAAACAGCCCUGAGGAGCACUGUUUCCCCAUCCCUAUCUCAUGCUGGUACUGUCUGGUCCAGUGGCAGCUCUGGAGCCAUCUGCCCCAUCCCCAAAUGUCAUUUUCUCUCACAGACCCCUCAGCUGGGGUUGCUGCAGCCAGCUGGCUGCUUUGCAGUUUAUUUAUUCAUUCUCUCUGCUAGUUAAUUAAAAAAGGUUAUCCUUAAAUUGCUUCCUGAUUAAGCAGCGUUGACUGUCAUUAGUCAGGAGCUCGUCAGCCUGAGAAAAACAAGGCAGGCAGUGAGAGGAAGGUGUGACCUGACACACAGCCCUGUGAGCGCCCGUACUCGCUGUGUGCAUGCACAGAUCCUCCCAAACACAGAAUUUAAAAAACGAAACAAACAAACAAACAAAACUCACCACCACCAACAAACAUGAGACUGAGAAGAUCUGGGUGCAGAGUUUGGUCCCAGCUUCUCUGAGGAAGUAUAAAGAAAAGAGUAAAAGUUGAAUGUAUCUCCAGACUUCAGAGCAGGGUGUGCAAGGAAAGGAUGCUCAUCCUGUGUUUUCUCACAUCCUUUCUCUUUACCCUUUCUAUCCCCCUGCAAGCCAUCAGACUCCCAUUGAGGGAGGAAUGGAUGAGACAUCUUUAUUUUUUCCUUCUUGUUACACUUUUAACUGACCAAAACUAGACCAAAUCCUGGUACCAAAGAUUGGCAAGAGAGAGGACACGCAGAGCAUAAUCCCGAAAGUAUUCCCCGCCAACUUCCCCCCAAGCAGCUUGAGGUGUCUGCUGUUGGGUCCUUAUGCUUGGGAGAUUUGGGAAAAAAAAAAAAAAAGACUUGGGAAAAGUGGAAGAAAGCCCCAGUUCAUGUGAACAAUUAGAGAGCAUUGUUUUGCAGAGAGAAGAGCUCUUGGGUCGCAUGGUCAGGCAGACACACAGACAGACGUUGAAGCAUUUGCUCCAUAUGGCACAACUUCAGCAAGGCACAAGGAACAGACCAACCAUGCAGAGAACAGACCUACAAAGCAAGAGGCCAUUUCUGAGCAGUUUGCUGGUAGCACUCCAGGUGUCCUUUCAGUCAGAACAUGCUUCCAGCAGUGGCUUGGACUCACCCUCCACACACCAAAUCAGAGUGCAGAGAUGCAGUAAGAAAAUCCAGGGAGGGCCGGUGGGUUAGCACACCCCAGUUGAUAUCUCAUGUUGAAUGUGUCCACUUCACCUCUUUUCCAACACACUCUCAUGGUUCUCUGCAUGGGUAGAGCUGUACAACUACAUCUUGCAGCCUCUAUGGAUCUUGGUGAACCACAUGCAGAGUUACUGUGUGCAUCAAGACCAUUGAGGAGAUGACUGGAAAUGAGGACUGGCCUCAGCCCACAUUGAUGGCCCUUGGAUGCUCCACCUUCUCAGAGGCAUUUGGAAGUCCACACAAGUUCAGUAGCACCAUUUCCAGUGCUCAGACAUGCUAGUCUUCAACCAUAUGGAGAGAACUUGUAGUUGCUCUCUUUAAAAUAAAUAAAUUCCAUGC
ensembl:lncRNA